rnacentral:rRNA from 1 species
UACGUAGGGUCCAAGCGUUAUCCGGAGUCACUGGGCGUAAAGCGUGCGUAGGUGGAUGUUUAAGUGAGAGGUUAAAUCGUGUGGCUCAACCAUAUCGAUGCCUCUCAUACUGGGCAUCUAGAGGACAGCAGAGGCAAGUGGAAUUGGUAGUGUAGCAGUGAAAUGCGUAGAUAUUACCAGGAACACCAAUGGCGAAGGCAGCUUGCUGGGCUACUCCUGACACUGAGGUACGAAAGCGUGGGGAGCGAACAGG